GACGUAGGGGGCCAGCGUUGUUCGGAAUUACUGGGUGUAAAGGGUUCGUAGGCGGUGCGGCAAGUUGGGAGUGAAAUCUCUGGGCUUAACCCAGAGGCUGCUUCCAAAACUGCUGUGCUUGAGUGUGGGAGAGGCGCGUGGAAUUGCAGGUGUAGCGGUGAAAUGCGUAGAUAUCAAGAGGAACACCUGAGGCGAAGGCGGGUUGCUAGGCUGAUACUGACGCUGAUAGCGCGAAAGCUAGGGUAGCAAACGGG
rnacentral:rRNA from 1 species